rnacentral:misc_RNA from 1 species
GAUGAAGAACGCAGCGAAAUGCGAUACUUGGUGUGAAUUGCAGAAUCCCGUGAACCAUCGAGUCUUUGAACGCAAGUUGCGCCCGAAGCCAUUAGGCCGAGGGCACGCCUGCCUGGGCGUCACACGUCGUUGCCCCCCAUCUACUCCUUCGGGAUUGCGGGGGGCGGAUGAUGGCCUCCCGUGCGCCACGCCGCGCGGUUGGCAUAAAUGCCAAGUCCUCGGCGACGCACGCCACGACAAUCGGUGGUUGCGAAACCUCGGUUGCCCGUCGUGUGCGGUCGUCGCGCAUCGAGGGCUCGAAAAAAUUGCCGGGUUCCGGCUCGGCUUUCAACGCGACCCCAGGUCAGGCGGGGUUACCCGCUGAAUUUAAGCAUAUCAAUAAGCGGAGGA